GGCUCCAUAGCUCAGUGAUUAGAGCACUGGUUUUCAUACCGGGGGUCAUAAGUUUGAUCCUUGCUGUGGCCU
rnacentral:tRNA from 1 species